UGCACACCCAUGUUCAUUGCAACGUUAUUCAGAAUAGCUGAGAUAUGGAAUCAACCUACUUGAACAAAGGAAUGGAUAAAGAACAUGUAGUACAUAUGGAACAGCAUUCAGCCUUUAAAAAGAAGCAAAUCCUGUAGUUUGAAACAUGAGUGAAUCUGGAGAACAUUAUGUUAAGUGAAAUAAACCAGGCUCAGAAAGAAAAGUACCUUGUGAUGUCACUUACAUGUGGAAUCUAAAAAAGAUGAACUCACAGAAGCAGCGAAUAGAAUGACGGUUACCAGAGGUUGGAAAGAAGGCAGUUGGGAAGGUGUUGGUCAAAGGAUAUAACAUUUCAAUUAGAUAGAAACAAUGAUCAUCUCAGUUGAAUAAAGAAACAACCAAAAUGCUGAAUUUGAAGAUUUCAAAUGAGAAGCAGUUUCUUUCCCUCACAUUCAAGUGCAGAUCCUUGGGUUCAGCCAGUUCAAUCUCUCAGACCAGGUUUUCUUCAUUUCCCCUGCUUCACACGGUUAUCUUUGAUAAAGGAGAACCUGGUGAAAGUCAGCAUGUAAAUACCACCUCCUGA
rnacentral:lncRNA from 1 species